GAAAGGAAACGGGAAACAGGGGAAAGACAUAAGGGAAAAAGGGGGAAUUAGAGAAGAAGAGGAAGGAGAAGAGAGGGAAUGGAAGGCGCCAGGAAGGGUGCCACCGUCGCUGCCACUGCUGUCGUGUGGGUGAGAGAGAGAGCUCGCGAACGAGGUUGCUGCCCAGAGCUGUCGUCACCAUUGGAGCUGCACGAAGCCAUCUCCAUCGUCGUCGCCUAAGGCUGUCGCCGUCGUGCUUCGUCGCUGCCGUUGCUAGGGUUCGUCACCAUCGUCGUAGCCAUCGCCGUCGCACGCAGAGGGGGGAGAGAGAAGGGAAGAUCCACGACUGGUCAAGAGAGAAGGGAGUCGAAGGACGCGUUGGUGGGUGUUCUCCUCGCCGCCGCCAUGGGAGCUCGCCACCAUUGUGAAGAUGAAACGAGGCAAGCAUUCUUUCUCUUAGUUUCAGUUCUGUUUUGCUUUUGGUUUUUGUUCUGUUCUUGCUCCUAGUUUUCAUUCUGAUUAUUAGGGUUUGGGAUUCCGUCCCCUUUGAAGCUACUACUGUUGUCGAUUGCCGCUAGAGAAUGUUCCGCCAACUUUCUACUGCCGAGAGCCAGUGCUGGAGCUGCCGUAUGGUUGCUAAGAUUCAUAUUUAAAAGGUUGCCUCCUCCUUUGUGCUUAUGGUUACUGAAGGUAAAGCUUGAUGCUUGUGCUUUUGUUUGAUGCUGCUCACUGAUUUUAAAGAUUCUGCUCAUUGAAGAUAACGCAAGGACAUAAGAGUUGUUAGUAAAAUAAUUUCCUUUGAGAUGAACGAUCACAAAAGUCUUGGUUUCUAUCUCAGAAACUGCACCCAUCAUUUUAUACAUUAGAGAUGUUGAGAGGAUGGGUACCAAGAAAGGAAAAGAGAAGGCCACUGACAAGACACCGGCAAGGAAAGGCACUAAAAGAGCCCCGGAUAAAGCACAACCCACUACAAGCGUAAAGCCACCCACGAAGCGGGUGAAGAGGAGAGUUAGAGUCAAUGAGGCAAAAAAGGCAUUUCCUGCAAGGGACUCUACACAGUUCACUAACCGUUACUGUGAGUAGAUGUUCCCCAUCCUGGCUGAUAGAAACUAUAAUAAUGAGUAUCUACUCAUCGUUCCCAUCCACUUUGUUGAUUUUGUGGAGCCCCGCAUUGAAAGGAGACAGUGGGGAUUCCUAAGGAGGCAGCCACGGGAGGCCAAUCUAUCUUGGGUAGUCGAAUUCUACUCCAACUUCCACUCGCUUACCUUGCAGUCUGUUUAUAUUCAUCAAAAACAAGUCCCUAUCUCUGAGGGUUCCAUACAGAGAGUAUUGGAUCUUCCACCUAGCCCAGAGGGAUGAGAUUCCUAUCAAGAAGCCUCUUUCAAGCACUAGACAUACCAGUUUGACUGGAAUAGCAUCCUUGGAGUCAUAGCACAACAUGGUAGUACAUGGAUCUAUGGACAACAUCGAACUCGACCUAAGAGCAUCUUAGCUCAAGUACUUACCUUGGAGGCUCACGUGUGGGCACAGAUUAUGUCCUACUAUAUCUUUCCGAGCACUCACGAGUCCAUCUUCACUGCGGACAUGGCUAUUCUCAUCUGGUGCAUUCUUACAGAGCAACCCCUCAACUUACCAAGACACAUUCGGCAGGCCAUGGGAUACGUAUAGAUUGCGGACAACCUACCCUUCCCCGCACUGGUUGCAGAUUUGGUAUCUGCAACGAGUGUCUCCUAUCGAGCUAGGGAUACGAAAGCCAUGAUCCCAAGGGAUGAUCAGUAUGUCCCGAAUGGGAAGUAUAUCAGACCCCCAGUACCUUCUGCGAGCCGGUAUGCAGGCCCAUCUUUAGACACUCCUUCUUCCUCGACCCCACCAUCAUCCACACCUCAGGCACUAUCCACCACUCAGAUGUUCCUUCAAAUCCUUCAGAGGUUAGAUUGGCAAAACCGGCGGAUGGAGAAAAUAGAGCGCCGUAACAAGUGCCGAUACACUUAUCUGAAGGAGCUCAUUGUUGGUACUCACCUACCUCCAGAAGAGAAGGACACCCCGAACUCCCCCUCACCUAGCUGCACGGGAAGCCAUGACGACCCAACCAGUGGAGGCGACACUCCCAGCCCCACAUUGCUCCUUACUGAUGGCACGAAGGACUGUGCCAAGCCUUAAGUGUGGAGAAGUCAGUACCUGACUUCCAGAGGUAUUUUCUGGCUAAAAUUGAGGGACCUGAUCAAAAGUCUGAUUCAGAGGCUGAGAAAGGACUACAGAUGCUGUUGGAUUCUGACCCUCCUGCACUCGAAGUGGAUUUUCAGGAGCUACAGAAGCCCAAUUAGCGCACUCAAAAUUGCGUUGGAAAGUCGACAUCUUGAGCUUUCCAGAAAUGUAUAAUAGUUCAUACUUUGCCUGAGAUUUGAUGGUCCGAACUGGCAUCCAAACGCCCACCAAAGACCCUUUUCUGGCGUUAAACGGCGGAACUGGCACCAGAGCUGGAGUUAAACGCCCAAACUGGCAUCCAAGCUGGCGUUUAACUCCAGAAAAAGCCUAUGCAUGUGUAAAGCUCAAUGCUCAGCCCAAGCACACACCAAGUGGGCUCCGGAAGUGAAUUUCUGCACUAGUUGCAUUUAGUUACUCAUUUUCUGUAAUUCCUAAUAACUAGUUUAGUAUAAAUAGCACUUUUUACUAUUGUUUUAGGGGAUUUUGGAGAAAUUUUCGAUCUUUUGAUCAAUUUUAUGCUUGGCUGGCCUCACGGCCAUACCUAGGCUAUUUUCUCUUAUGUAUUUUCCAACGGUGGAGUUUC